rnacentral:pre_miRNA from 1 species
GUCCUACUCCCUCGGUUCCAUAAUACAUGCCUUUUAUUUAUCAAAAUAUAGAUAUAUCUAGACAUGUUUUAGUAUAUAUAGGUACAUCUAUUUUUAGACAAAUAAAAAUCAAGUAUUUUGGAACGAAGGGGGUACAAC